rnacentral:rRNA from 1 species
UAAGCGCAUACGGUGGAUGCCUUGGCAGUCAGAGGCGAUGAAAGACGUGGAAGCCUGCGAUAAGGUUCGGGGAGCUGGCAAACAAGCUGUGAUCCGGGCAUUUCUGAAUGGGGAAACCCACCGACUUUCGGGUCGGUAUCUUGCACUGAAUACAUAGGUGUAAGAGGCGAACCGGGGGAACUGAAACAUCUAAGUACCCCGAGGAAAAGAAAUCAACCGAGAUUCCCUAAGUAGCGGCGAGCGAACGGGGACUAGCCCUUAAGCUAGACAACUGGUAGGAGAAGGCUCUGGAAAGUGCCGCCAUAGUGGGUGAUAGCCCCGUAUCCGAAACCUGAGUCUGGUGAAAUCGAGUAGGACGGGACACGUGAAAUCCUGUCUGAACAUGGGGGGACCAUCCUCCAAGGCUAAAUACUCCUGACUGACCGAUAGUGAACCAGUACCGUGAGGGAAAGGCGAAAAGAACCCCUGUGAGGGGAGUGAAAUAGAUCCUGAAACCGUAUGCGUACAAGCAGUCGGAGCGGACUUGUUCCGUGACGGCGUACCUUUUGUAUAAUGGGUCAGCGACUUAUGUUCAGUGGCGAGGUUAACCGUUUAGGGGAGCCGUAGGGAAACCGAGUCUGAAUAGGGCGAUUUAGUCGCUGGGCAUAGACCCGAAACCGGGCGAUCUAUCCAUGAGCAGGUUGAAGGUGCCGUAACAGGCACUGGAGGACCGAACCCACUGUCGUUGAAAAGCCAGGGGAUGACUUGUGGAUCGGAGUGAAAGGCUAAUCAAGCCCGGAGAUAGCUGGUUCUCCCCGAAAGCUAUUUAGGUAGCGCCUCGGACGAAUACCACAGGGGGUAGAGCACUGUUUCGGCUAGGGGGUCAUCCCGACUUACCAACCCGAUGCAAACUCCGAAUACCUGUGAGUACUAUCCGGGAGACACACGGCGGGUGCUAACGUCCGUCGUGAAGAGGGAAACAACCCAGACCGCCAGCUAAGGUCCCCAAGUACCAGUUAAGUGGGAAACGAUGUGGGAAGGCUCAGACAGCUAGGAGGUUGGCUUAGAAGCAGCCAUCCUUUAAAGAAAGCGUAAUAGCUCACUAGUCGAGUCGGCCUGCGCGGAAGAUGUAACGGGGCUCAAACUGGUCACCGAAGCUGCGGCUGCAUACUUUGUAUGCGGGGUAGGGGAGCGUUCUGUAAGCCUGCGAAGGUGUGUUGAGAAGCAUGCUGGAGGUAUCAGAAGUGCGAAUGCUGACAUGAGUAACGACAAUGCGGGUGAAAAACCCGCACGCCGGAAGACCAAGGGUUCCUGCGCAACGCUAAUCGGCGCAGGGUGAGUCGGCCCCUAAGGCGAGACCGAAAGGUGUAGUCGAUGGGAAACGGGUUAAUAUUCCCGUACCUUGGAUAGCUGCGAUGGAGAGACGGAGAAGGCUAGGUGAGCCGGGCGACGGUUGUCCCGGUUUAAGCGAGUAGGGAGUGGACUUAGGCAAAUCCGGGUCCACAAUCUCGAGACGCGACGACGACUGCUCCUAGAGCGGGAAGUCAUUGAUGCCAUGCUUCCAGGAAAAUCUUCUAAGCUUCAGGCUAUUCGAGACCGUACCCCAAACCGACACAGGUGGUCAGGUAGAGAAUACCAAGGCGCUUGAGAGAACUCGGGUAAAGGAACUAGGCAAAAUGGUGCCGUAACUUCGGGAGAAGGCACGCUGGUGGUAAGUGAAAUCCCUGCGGGUGGAGCUGAAGCCAGUCGAAGAUACCAGGCCCCUGCGACUGUUUAUUAAAAACACAGCACUGUGCAAACACGAAAGUGGACGUAUACGGUGUGACGCCUGCCCGGUGCCGGAAGGUUAAUUGAUGGGGUUAGCGCUUGCGCGAAGCUCUUGAUCGAAGCCCCGGUAAACGGCGGCCGUAACAAUAACGGUCCUAAGGUAGCGAAAUUCCUUGUCGGGUA